CGCGCAUUAAAUGCAUAUUAAAUGCUGCAAUGCGCUGUAAAAUGUGCCACAUUUCAUGUGCCACAUUCAAUGCACAUUGCAGCGCAUUUAAUGCGGUUGGCGCUGCUGGGGAAGUCGUCCCCGUUCCCCCCGCGGCCCGCGUACUUGUUUAUCUUUACUACCCAUCCGCGCCGCCCUUUCUUCUGGUUAUACCGCACCGGAUGCAGGCGUGCAGGCAGGCUUGCCUAUCGUCUCACCGAGGCGCUUUGCGGCCCCGAGCGAGUAUGCGACCCGUUCGCACUCCGCGCUCAUCAUUGUGUAUUGUGUAUCACCCAAAGAGAGGGCGGCGCUGACGAAUCGCCCCGUAAUAUACGGAGGUAGUAUUGAAAGGAUUACAUCCCCGCGCAAAACGUUUUCUCGGCCUCAUGCGUACGCAGGGUAAACAGCCGGUCGGUCGGGUUCCUCUUUAGCUACGUUUUUUUUUCUUUAACGAGAACAAAUGUUGUGAUUUCUCAAAAUUGGUUGACAAUUAAAGUCACCUGCUGGCGGAGGUAUGUAAGAGCUUUGUGUACGUUUUGCGUCAAAAAGUAUGAAAACCAGAUCGCUGAAGAAAAUGUCUAAAUCUUCCGCAAAUUUGAGGGGCUUAUUCUUCCCCGUCCUGACCCUAUGAAUAUCGUUCCGAUGUGGAUUUCUGGGUUUUCUGGGUGGUUUUCUGGGUGUACCUUUUCAACUUACCUUAAUACUACAAAUAAAUGCCUUAUCCUUGUCUUGACCGCAGGUGUUUCCAGAGAACAUCCGAAACGGCAUCGUGGCCAUCGCCAUCCGAAACGCCGCCCAGCGGUCGGCGAGCAGCCUGGACCUCCUGACUGGCCCUCACGGGGCUCCGGGGGGCGUGUCCACCCCUACAGCCCCCUACGGCCCGGGGGCCCACCGGGGAUGUUUGGCCGAAGCCUCGCUCAGCGAAGUGAAACUGUACGACGAGCUGUCCCUGGUGCGCCGGGACAUGGCGACGCGCAGGGAGCUCCACGAGGCCAACGAGAGGACGGAGAGGAACUUCCGCGCGGUGCACCGGGAGCUGGAGGCGCUGCGGGCGCGCGUGGAGCACGUGCUCAACUCAUUGCCCAGAAUAAACAAAUCUUAAGCAGA